rnacentral:tRNA from 1 species
GUUCCCGUAGCUCAGCGGACAGAGCGCCUCGUUUCUACCGAGACGGUCGCUGGUUCGAUUCCAGCCGGGGACU